UACGUAGGGGGCAAGCGUUGUCCGGAUUUAUUGGGCGUAAAGAGCGUGUAGGCGGCCAUACAGGUCCGUUGUGAAAACUCGAGGCUCAACCUCGAGACGUCGAUGGAAACCGUAUGGCUAGAGUCCGGAAGAGGAGAGUGGAAUUCCUGGUGUAGCGGUGAAAUGCGCAGAUAUCAGGAAGAACACCCGUGGCGAAGGCGGCUCGCUGGAACGGUACUGACGCUGAGGCGCGAAAGCGUGGGGGAGCGAACAGGG
rnacentral:rRNA from 1 species